AAGUCGUAACAAGGUUUCCGUAGGUGAACCUGCGGAAGGAUCAUUAACACGUAUCCAACGUUAAAACCCCCCCGUGAACCUUCAGUGUGCUCGUACGCUUUGUUAGAAAGUAGCAAUCCCUGGUAAAUCAUCGCCGAACAGUUUUGAUUCAGGGACUUCUGCGAAGAAGUGUGGCCUGAAAGUGUCAAGGGUGGCGCAGUCACGAUCGCUAGAGGCCGACACGGCCGGCGACCGGGUCACCGGGCUCACGCCCCUUAAUAACCUUUGCAUGAAAACGGGCCUGCGCUUAAUUGUGCGGCCAUAAACCGAACAACUGUUAACAAUGGAUAUCUUG
rnacentral:misc_RNA from 1 species